rnacentral:pre_miRNA from 12 species
UGUCAGUCAUUUGUCACGUGGUGGCUUGGUGGUCGUAUGUAUGACGUCAUUUACUUGGACUUUUAGGAGUGACAUCAUAUGUACGGCUGCUAAACUGCUGCAUGGGACAUCACUUAAACU